rnacentral:rRNA from 1 species
AUUGAACGCUGGCGGAAUGCUUUACACAUGCAAGUCGAACGGCAGCCAGGACUCCGGUCUGGUGGCGCGUGGCGAACGGGUGAGUAAUGUAACGGAACGUGCCCAGCCGUGGGGGCUAACGAAGUGUACAUAAGGCUAACACAGCCUACGAUCUAUGGUCGAAAGCGGGGGUUGGCAGAAACACUGGCGAUUGGUGCGGCCGAUAUCAGAUUAGGUAGUUGGUGGGGUAAAGGUCCACCAAGCCAACGAUCUGUAGCUGGUCUGAGAGGACGACCAGCGACACUGGAACUGAGACACGGUCCAGACUCCUACGGGAGGCAGCAGUGGGAAAUUUUGGGCAAUGGGCGAAAGCCUGAUCCAGCCAUUCCGCGUGCAGGAUGAAGGCCCUCGGGUUGUAAACUGCUUGUGUUCAGAGCGAAAAGGUUUCUACUAAUACGAGGAGCUCAUGACGGUACUGUAAGAAUAAGCACCGGCUAACUACGUGCCAGCCGCCGCCGUAA